GCCAACGUUAUUAUUAUUAUUAUCUGUCCGCUGGGUGACCCGGGGUGAGUCGCUUCACUUCUCUGGGCCUCAGUUCCCUCUUCCGUAGAAUGGGGAUUAAAAGGCCGAGCCUCAUAUGGGACGGAGAGUGGGUCCGACCUGAAGAGCUCGUAUCUACCCCAGCGCUUAGUUCCGUGCCCGGCACCUAAUAAGAAGCGCUUAACACAUUUCGUGACGAAUCGUGACCACUGAUGGAUCGGUUGAAGCGUAAGCACGUCGGACGGGAUCCCCGGCCCAGCGGAGCUCACAGGCGGCCGCGACCCGGUCUCCCCAUCUCACACCCGGCCCUUUCCCGGCUACUCUGCCCCGGUUCCGCGGUCUCCCCGAGAAUCGGGGCUCCGGGCAGACCGGACCCCGAAGGUUUUAAGGGUCCGAUCCGUCCUGCCCCCGGGCCCGACUCAGACUUGUGUCUCUCCCCCGCUGCCCACCACAGUCCCGGCAGUCCAGAACAUCCGGCUGAAGCAGCCCUCGCUGAUCUCGACCUCCGAGGGCAACUCGGAGAUCCUGCCCUGCAGCUUCUCCGCCGAGCCCGAGGAGCCCCCGCUGCGGUUCCUGGGGGUCGUCUGGUGGCGGGGGCCUUCUGGGACCGGACGGCCCAUCUUCGACUCCGAAACCGACUACGUCCACCCGGAUUACCGGGGCCGGGCCUCCGUGAAGCAGGACCUCCGACGGGGGUUCGCUUCUUUAUCCAUCCGCAACCUCCGCAAGAGUGAUGAGAACGUGUUCCUCUGCGGCGUCACUGUCAUGGUGGAGGGCGAAAAGGUCACCUGGUGGAGGCAGGAAGGGACCAAUGUCACUUUUGCAGUCCCGGCGGAGGCCCAGAAUGUCCAGGUGAAGCAGUCCUUGAAGAUCUUGACCUCCGAGGGCAACUCCGCGGUCCUGCACUGUUUCGCCUCCACCCGGAAGGGGGGGCCCCCGCUGCGGGUUCUGGGGUUCUCCUGGUGGAGGGGGUCUCCCGGGACCAAAGAGCUCGUCUUCGACUCCGCAACCAACUUCACCCACCGGGAUUACCGGAACCGGGUCUCCAUGAAGAAGGACCUCAAGGAGGGGUUCAGUUCCUUCGACAUCCAAGGCCUGCGGAAGAGCGACGAGGACACGUUCUUCUGCAGGGUCAGCGUUGUGACCGAGGGCAAAGAGGUCAUCUGUUGGAGCCAGGAAGGGGCCAACAUCACUUUCGCAGAAGGCAUCCCGAGAUUCCUGAUCCAGCAGCCGAAGGCGCUGACGGCCCCCGAGGGAGGCUCGGUCACCAUCUCCUGCCUCUUCUCCCCCCCGCCGGGCCUCGGGCCCCUGAGCAACGUGAGAGUGAUCUGGAGGAGGAACCACUUCCACGGCAAAGUCAUCUUGCGGUCCUUCCCGCCCGCCACCCCCGAUCCGGACUACGAGGGCCGCGUGACCCUGGUGGGGAACCCGGUGGGCGGGAACGCGUCCAUCCGGAUCUCCGGCCUGCGGCCCCGGGACCAGACCACCUACUUCUGUGCCGUCUACGGCCGCCUCGCCCAAGGGCAGGAGGUCCAGCAGCAGAGCUCCCUGGGGACCCCCCUCACCGUGACAGCGAGGUCGAGGGGCCGGCUCAUCAGCCAGCCGAGGUCCCCGCAGGCCCUCGAUCUGCGCAAUGACAGCUGCGUCACGGAGAAGGCCCGGGAACCCGGCCUCUGCCUCAGACCCCUCUUCUCACCCUCGGAUCUGGGCCCGCUCCUCGCUCUCUCCCUGACCCUGAAGAUCGGCACCUGCGUAGCCGUGUUCCUGAGACUCCAGGGAAGGGAGAGGGCCGCCCCCGGGGGGGUCUCCGGCCCCCCGGCCCCCGUGCCAGCCACCAGGCGGGAGCCACGGGCCGCCCGGCCUCCUGGCUCCGACCGGGCCGAGCCCGCUGGGGGACCCCAACAGGUCCAGUAAAGACGCCGUCCUGCUGUCCUGGGAGUCCGCGCGUCUGUGGGGGACGAGGGAGCGGGGCCUGAAAUCC
rnacentral:lncRNA from 1 species